UUUGAACCCAGAUCUUCUUGGCUUCAAGACCAAGAAGAUUUAGUUCACUGUGUGAACUUGUCAUUCACCAAGUUCAAUAACAUGCCUCUUUGGGAAGAGCAACAAGAGCCACUUCCUGUAUUUCAAGUUUCCAUGGCUAUUCUCUGAGAAGGGUGAGUGGGAGAAGCCAUGCUAUGUUUGUUGCAGCCUGAAGGCUCAUGUCUGGGAGGGAAGCAAAGAAUUUAAGAGCCAAGGAGAUUGACAAAAAUAGGGAUCUGGAGCAUAAGUAAGCAACAAUUUCCUUUAUUUUUCGUUCCUUUUUUCUCCCCCCCCCCUUUCAUUUUUUAGGGAAUCUAGUAGGAGGGAGCUGUGUUGUUGAGGUGGCCAAGACAGCCCUAUGAAAAUUUACCUCUCUGGGGCUACUGUGGUCAUUUCUUCCAGGAGUUAAGAGAACUCCAGCAUAUGGAGGUCCCUAGGAAAGAGACAAAGUCAUUUGCAAGUGAAAAAUUGAGGAUGAGGUCCAGUGUUCACCAUGUGGAAGAAAAGAUAUGGCAUUCAGAAAAGAGUCAUCCAAGUACAGUGGCAAGACAAAAGUCAGAUUGAAAGGAACGCAGUGGAUGACAUUGGCGUCUUCCAUGUUUGACCGAGCUCUAAGUGUUCCACGGUGCCUGCUUCAGUGUUCUGCUGCCUUCAGAAAACUCUGGAAAGACACGAACUGAUGCAAAGUCAAAUAAGCAGAACCAGAACAUUGUAUGAUGAACAGUUGUGAAUGAUCUAGUUAUUCUCAACAAUACAGUGAUCCAGGACAAUUCCAGCCAUUUCAUGAAGAAAAAUGCCAUCUGCCCUCUGAGAAAGAACUGGAGUAUGAAUGCAGACUUAAGCAUACUGUAUUUACUCUUCUUUCUUCUUUUUAUAUUUGAGAAUUCCACAAAAUGCCUGAAAUGAGAAAAUGUUUUAUAUGAUUACACAUGUAAAAUUCCCUAUCAGAUUGCUUGCCAUCUCAGGGAGAAGGGGAAAGCAAGGAGGCAGAGAGGGAAGGAGAGUCAGAAGGGAGAGAAUUUAGAACUCAAACUUUAAAAAAAUGAAUGUUGAAAAUUGUUUUUAUAUGUAACAGGGGAGAAAAUAAAAUGUUAUUAAAAAUAAAAAAAACA
rnacentral:lncRNA from 1 species